UCGAGCGCUACCUUCGGGUGGAGCGGCGGACGGGUUAGUAACGCGUGGGAAUAUACCCAGUUCUAAGGAAUAGCCACUGGAAACGGUGAGUAAUACCUUAUACGCCCUUCGGGGGAAAGAUUUAUCGGAAUUGGAUUAGCCCGCGUUAGAUUAGAUAGUUGGUGGGGUAAUGGCCUACCAAGUCUACGAUCUAUAGCUGGUUUGAGAGGAUGAUCAGCAACACUGGGACUGAGACACGGCCCAGACUCCUACGGGAGGCAGCAGUGGGGAAUCUUAGACAAUGGGCGCAAGCCUGAUCUAGCCAUGCCGCGUGAGUGAUGAAGGCCCUAGGGUGGUAAAGCUCU
rnacentral:rRNA from 1 species